CUGGGAGUAGCCAAGAGAUGAAAACGUGGAGGUAAAUUUUUUUGGAAUGCAUGGACCAUCCAGUUAUCUAAUUGCUCUCGGUCUCCAGGAUUAAACCCAAAGGUCUAAUAAACAAUGAGAAUGAACAGCCCACGCGAACGUUACACGCGGAAUGAAUGGCUUGAAGCACGAGGACCGAAGGGUCGAGGAAGGGCGGGAGCAAUGAGGCUCUUUGAAUGGAUGCGUGCGCAGUUGUGAAGCUGCGCAAUAGAUCACUGAGUCGAUUCUUUGGUGGAUUUUUGGGAUAAUGAAGCUUCAAUCAUACUCAAGAUGUUGUGGAGUAUUAUUACAGAAUGGAGAAGAGCAAAGAAGGUGAAGAAAACUUUCUUAAAUAUAGUAGAGAUAAAAGGGUGUUGAAACUCACCAGUUGAGCAGUACUCUAGAGAUCGAAGUUUGGAAUAAUCUCCUUCAUUAUUUCCACUUGGCCAAGUUUUGGAGUUUUAAAAACAAGUGUUGGCAUCGUGUUAUUGAUUGCUAACACAUUCAGCUAACAUUGAAACAGUCAACUUUUGAAAACAGGUCUAGAUGAGUGUCUCGCGUGGUUGCACCAGAAGAGAAUACAGGGGCACUCACGUUCACUCGGCACAGCACAUGAAGAACUGACAGACGGAAGAGGAAGGGAAGCUAAAGGGAGCCAAGAGCGCGAAC